rnacentral:rRNA from 1 species
GACGUAGGGGGCGAGCGUUGUCCGGAAUCACUGGGCGUAAAGGGCGCGUAGGUGGCUUCUCAAGCGCGCGGUGAAAGCCCGGGGCUCAACCCCCGGGUCGGCCGUGCGGACUGGGAGGCUCGAGCACUGUAGGGGCGGGUGGAAUUCCGGGUGUAGCGGUGGAAUGCGUAGAGAUCCGGAAGAACACCGGUGGCGAAGGCGGCCCACUGGAUCGGUACUGACGCUGAGGUGCGAAAGCGUGGGGAGCAAACAGG